UAUAUGUUCCAUCAUAUUGAUAUAUUCAAAGUUAUACUAUUCAGUGCAACGUGCAUGCCCAAAUAACGGUGAGAAUUCAGGGCGAGGGUGCAAACUCCCACACACCGUCAGCCAGACAGACAAGAUGAAACAUACUUGGAUCUGACAGGAAAAAUGUGAUAACGACAGCGCUGCAGACAUCUUAAGAUAAGAUAAGCGCGUGUCUACAACCGUCCCUAUCGCGCGGCCAAUGGACAGACCCCGAUCCCAACCGGCCAAUCACGAGAGGACGGGCGAUGACGUCACGCGCCAACUCGACCGCGAUUGGUCCUCCUCGAAUGUACGGUCGGCCUUGGGAGAAACGAUGACUCCCCUUCAGUGCCAGCAUUUAAAUGUGGCCUGCUCGACGUCCCUCAGUCAGCGGGAUUCAGAUGGAGUGAGUGCCAGGUCAGCAAACAUCCAAGUCUAUCUCAGCUCUUUGGAGAGAAUCUUUCAUUUUUUCUCAAAGAAAUUUCGAUCAAAAUUUCAAGAUGGAUCCUUCCGCACAUUGGCCGUGGGUUGUCAUCUCGACGGCUGAAGAUGGAGAUUCAUAAACAGGCAAACAAACACAACGGACUUCGAAUCACACAAGUGGUGAUGAUGGAGAAAUCACACUCAGUAUGCAACAGGAGCUGUUCUUCAGCCCCAGCACAACUACCGAACAAAUGACGAUGAACAAAUGAACAAAAUCAAGCCUCUGACCUCACAUGACCUUAUGGCCUCCUGAUGACCCUGUCUCCUUGGAAGAAGCAGUGACUCAAGUCGACUGUAUGAUUACCUAUGUUAUACAUAGUAUUGCCUCUGCAUUCACCAUUGCAAUGCUCUUCGUCAUUAAUUAUUCUUUUAAUAGCAACGGUUUAAUUAAUUAAGUCGUUUUCUUUGAUAUUUAAGAUGUAUAUAUUUUUUCGAGUAUGAAAUCUUAUACUCGACUUAUUUCAUGGUCAUAUAUUGUGCUAGAAGAAUCUAGUGCAACUUGAAUAUCGAUUUCUAGUUCCUAAUAUUUGGACAUUAUAUAUAUAUAUAUAUAUAUAUAUAUAUAUAUAUAUAUAUAUAUAUAUAUAUUAAUGUUAACUAUAGUUUUGCAUUAGACUUUAUUUCUUUUAUAAAUGCUCUCAAUAAUAACUAUAUAUUUUUGCAUAUGUUAGUGUGUCUAUCAGUCCAAGCCACUGUGGCUGAAAGACAUUCAUAAUUUGAUCCAUAUAUUUGUGGAGCCUUUUAUGACAAUCGUCGUUAUAUCUUUAUAUAUACAUAUAUAUUAUAUCUUUCUUUCAAUUCUAUAUCUUCUAUAUUUUUUUAAUCGCUCUGUUUAUCAUCUGUUUAUUCUCUUGAUAAGGAUAGCAGAACAAAUAAUACUAAUUUUCCGGGAUAAUUCAAAGGUUACCAAUAUCGUAUCUAAGUAUGUUUGUUUAUAUCGUAUGACAUAUAUCAUUUUGUUUUUAAGAAAUAUGUUUUUGAAUUAAUCGCAUUUGUAGAUAAGAUUAAGCUUUCAUUGUAUAACUUUAUUAGUAAAUUAAUGAUGCUAAAGAAUACUUUAUUUCUUUUGCAAGUUGUUUAAUUUCUUUAAAAUUACUUUGUGUCUUUCUAUUUUUUAAGAUAACUUUAUCGCUAUUUUGUCAACUUUCUUAUCUCUUCAAUUUUUUUUUGUUUUUUUUUAAUGUACUCGGUUUAUUCAACAUGUCAGAUAUUGUUAUAUUUAUCAUGCUUUUCAAGUUUGUAACGCAUUUAAUUAAUACGUUUAAACAUUUAUAAUUUGAUCCAUGUAUUUAUAGAGCCUGAAUAUAAAAUACAAAAAAAAAAAUUAUCGGCUUCAUUUAAUAUAUCUUUUUUUUUUUUUUUUUUGAAACUGUGACAUCUUUAAAGAUUAUAUAUAUAUUUUUCUAGUGAGCUUAUUUACAUGUAUUUAUGCGCCUUUUGGCCACUGUGAUGAGGAUCUGUGAUAAUAAAACUAUGAUAUAA
rnacentral:lncRNA from 1 species